rnacentral:rRNA from 1 species
CCUACGGGUGGCAGCAGUAGGGAAUAUUGCUCAAUGGGGGAAACCCUGAAGCAGCAAUGCCGCGUGCAGGAAGAAGGUUUUCGGAUUGUAAAAUCCUUUUGUUAGAGAAGAUAAUGACGGUAUCUAACGAAUAAGCACCGGCUAACUCCGUGCAAGCAGCCGCGGUAAUCCGGCGGGUGCAAGCGUUACUCGGAAUCACUGGUCGUAAAGCGCGCGUAGGCGGGAUAGCAAGUCAGAUGUGAAAUCCUAUGGCUUAACCAUAGAACUGCAUUUGAAACUGGUAUUCUAGAGUAGGGGAGAGGUAGGUGGAAUUCUUGGUGUAGGGGUAAAAUCCGUAGAUAUCAAGAAGAAUACUGAUUGCGAAGGCGGCCUGCUAGAACAUAACUGACGCUGAUGCGCGAAAGCGUGGGGAGCAAACAGGAUUAGAUACCCGAGUAGUC